AGCUAGUCAACACCAGCCAGUUAGCUUGACUAACAUUGUGAGGUCAGAGCGCUCGGAUCAACCCUACUCCUCGGCUAGAGCGUCCAGGGUGCGCUCUGAAUGCUCAGAGAGCAAAAUGCUCUGAAUAAUUUACAAACUGACAACUCUCUGAAUUUAGGAACGACCAGAGCGCACUAUGCGCUCACUCUGACAUUCCAGAUUGAAUUUAUGAACACCCUAGGUCUUAAUUGAAAGUAGAAACCAAAAACCAUCAGACCCUCCAUGGAAUGAGUUUGACAUCUAUGUAGCAGCACAUGUACUAGUAGUAACGGUUAUCAAAACAUUUUUAAAUGGAUAAAACACAAUUCAUUACCCUCUCUCCUUUGUAGCGAACUAGCUAACCUUAGAUCUCUCUCUGUCGAUCAGAAGCAAAGAUGGUUAUGUACCGCCGGAUUGUAACCACUACUUUGAUAAGCACAUGCAUUUUAUCGUUUUCCAAAGCUUCGCUGGAGCCGUGUGAUUAGACCAACAGGAGUGCAUCCCUCAGACCAUCUGGUGCAUGGACAUCCUGUGCCAGUGUGAUCCAGUUGUGGAGACGACAGCACAUCGAGCCUGUGGACGAACAGUGCCAACUUCGGGAGCAUGUGGUCCUUGAAAAACUCAUCUAGUCCAGCAAUAGGAGUCUGCCAGAGGUCGUCACGCUGGAUGGGGAUGGUGACAGAGGCUUUGGUGGUCCACACAAUGAAUAAGCAAGUGUCCUUUCCAGUGUUGUGGAGCUGCCCUUAACCUGCUGCCAUUAAGGAUGGUAUUCACGGAGUCUGUAAGACCCUCCCUUCUGGAUAUAGAAAUCCUUUGACUUCACUGCCUCUUCAAUGUUAAGGUAGGGACCACUUAACCUAGGGACCACUUAACCUCCACCACUGCUGUGGUGCCCACUCUAGCUAUCUACCACCAGACCAUCCGGUGAGGCACCCAGGAUCCCAGACCCCGUGACCAAAAGCCUUGACUCCUGCCCAUCCAUCUCUGUAGCCAUUUUGAAUGCCUUGAUGUCCUUCGUUAUCUGUGCCCCAUUUUUACCACAUUCAACGUCUCAACACCUUUAAAUGUAUUCCUUGUAAGAAAUGUGCAAUAUAAAGUUUUAUUUGAUAACAUUGAUAACAUGUAGAAUAUUUCAUAAACUGUCAUUUUCAUAUAAGGGCAAGUACAGUUUUUCUAUAAACUUUUAAUUGAUAACUUGGGAUUUUAUGAGUUGACAUAGCAUAUAGUGGGAAGGAUCCUAUAAAUCAAGACUGUGUGAAUUCAUGUACCACUCUGAAUAAAUAAACUGUGCCUUUUGAA